rnacentral:rRNA from 1 species
GACGAACGCUGGCGGCGUGCUUAACACAUGCAAGUCGAACGGAAAGGCCCUGCUUUUGUGGGGUGCUCGAGUGGCGAACGGGUGAGUAACACGUGAGUAACCUGCCCUUGACUUUGGGAUAACUUCAGGAAACUGGGGCUAAUACCGGAUAGGAGCUCCUGCUGCAUGGUGGGGGUUGGAAAGUUUCGGCGGUUGGGGAUGGACUCGCGGCUUAUCAGCUUGUUGGUGGGGUAGUGGCUUACCAAGGCUUUGACGGGUAGCCGGCCUGAGAGGGUGACCGGCCACAUUGGGACUGAGAUACGGCCCAGACUCCUACGGGAGGCAGCAGUGGAGAAUAUUGCACAAUGGGCGGAAGCCUGAUGCAGCAACGCCGCGUGCGGGAUGACGGCCUUCGGGUUGUAAACCGCUUUCGCCUGUGACGAAGCGUGAGUGACGGUAAUGGGUCAAGAAGCACCGGCUAACUACGUG